rnacentral:rRNA from 1 species
AAUGAACGCUGGCGGCAGGCCUAACACAUGCAAGUCGAACGGAUCCUUCGGGAUUAGUGGCGGACGGGUGAGUAACGCGUGGGAACAUACCCUUUGGUACGGAAUAGCCUCGGGAAACUGGGAGUAAUACCGUAUGUGGUCGAGAGACGAAAGAUUUAUCGCCAAAGGAUUGGCCCGCGUUGGAUUAGGUAGUUGGUGGGGUAAUGGCCUACCAAGCCGACGAUCCAUAGCUGGUUUGAGAGGAUUAUCACACACUCUGGGACUGAGACACGGCCCGUACUCAUACGGGAGGCAGAAGUGGGGAAUCUUAGACAAUGGGGGAAACCCUGAGCUAGCCAUGCCGCGUGAUCGAUGAAGGCCUUAGGGUUGUAAAGAUCUUUCAGGUGGUAAGAUAAUGACUGUACCACCAGAAGAAGCCCCGGCUAACUCCGUGCCAGCAGCCGCCGUAACAC